UUGUGGUGUGCGGCUUUCCGGCUGUGUUCAUCCCCCUUUACACCAUAUGUAUCGCUAUUGUGAAUGAUUUCGAGCAUACUUGAACAACCCUGGGAAUCAGGUGUUCAGUGAUUGAAACGGGUGGAAGAGGAGGAAAGCCGUCAAGGAAGGACUGGUCGAAAGCCUGCCAUGACGGGAAAUUUGCGAAAGAUGGCCGACUUCCUGGCCGGUUUGCCUUCUCUUGGACCUUGGAAUUGGAGUUGGCUGGAUGCAGAAAAAUCGUGGAAAAUCGAACUUACGAACUACAUAUUAAAUAAUCUGAAAAUAAAGAAAAAAUUACAUCCUAAAAAAAAAAAAUAUAUAAGAAAUUAUAAAAAUAAUCUAAAACUACAAGCUUAACUUACCUAAAGGCUACAUACUAAACUUACCUAAGAACUAAGUUAACAAAACCACAAGCAAAAAAAAAUACUUAAAAUCUACAAGCUAGAUAAAAAAAAAAAAAAAACAAACAAACAGUGAAUUGAAUACAUCUUAAAGUUACGAAGAUAUCUAAGAAUUGAGCAUACCUAAAAGAAAAAUUACAAUCUAAAUAAGACUAAAAUCUUACAAGCUACAUAACGCUACAUCUUAAAAAUAAAGUUAAAAAAAAAAAAAAACAACGGAUACACCAUCAUCAACCGCAUCCAGCCACCAUCGCCUCUCCAAUCAACGUGGGAGCUCCAGAUGCUUGUAGCCUCCUCCGGGUUGCAGGGGUAAAUGCCGGACUUCGGACUAAGACGGACGACCUAUAAAGACAAACAUUUUUAUUACAGUUUACACGUACACAUAUAAAUAUAUUUGGGCCAAAUAAUAUUUAAAUAUACAUUGUUCUUACCUGGGGGAGACAAGAAGGGCUAUUUGUCCCAACUCAGUUGCAGUGGGUUCCGUUUUAGAAGGAGCCGUAGGCGCUAGGAUCAGAGCUCUAAUCCGGGUAGGUCCUCAAAACGUUGAAUAGGGAGUUUUUGCCCACCGGGCAAAUAUCAUCUUGUCCAACCAGAAAAGAAAGGAGUAAUUAAAAAAAGAAAAUAGAAAAAGGUAUGAUAUGUUUAUAUUGACAACACGGACGGACAGAACAAACAACGGACGGAUACUAAUACGCGGACGGAUAUUAGCGGCAGCCCGGCCGAAGCGGGUGGAAAUCCUUACUUCAGCGGAGGAAGAUGACUAGACGAUGCCAGAUCAAAGGCGAAAUGGGGACCCCAUGGUCGAAACUUUGAUUAUUGUUAUGAUAUGUAUUUUCUGUUGAUGCCAAUAAAGGCAGUUUUAUAAUGUUUUUACAAGGCAA